rnacentral:rRNA from 1 species
AUGAACGUUGGCGGUGUGCCUAAUACAUGCAAGUCGAACGGUGGUUAUUUUGUAGUAAUACGAAGUGAUCAUAGUGGCGAACGGGUGAGUAACGCGUUGGUGAUCUGCCUCGAAGUGUGGAAUAACGUUCCGAAAGAAUUGCUAAUACCGCAUGUGAUCUUGGAGAUUAGAACCUCUUUGAUUAAAGGAUUUAUUCGCUUCGGGAGGGGCCUGCGUCCCAUCAGCUAGUUGGUAGGGUAAUGGCCUACCAAGGCUUUGACGGGUAGGGGACCUGAGAGGGUGGCCCCCCACAAUGGAACUGAAACACGGUCCAUACACCUACGGGUGGCAGCAGUAGGGAAUAUUAGUAAUGGGCGAAAGCCUGAACUAGCAACACCGCGUGUGCGAUGAAGGCCUUCGGGUUGUAAAGCACUUUUCGGGAGGAUGAGGAAGGACGGUACUCCCGGAAUAAGUCUCGGCUAACUAUGU